CUGUGCGGUCGCUAUCCGCUCGGUCGAUGUCGGUAGACUCUCGUGGUUCGGGAGGCUAUGAUUCUGAUCGUAGUAGUGAGACGAUUGGAAACGAAGAAACACAGGUUGGGCUAUGGCAACGGCAGGACCGUUUGUCACUGAAGCUCGAAAGUACGAGCAUACAAGCAGCGGAAUUACAGGAACCGCGGAAUCUAAUUGCGCAAAGCACGCAAUAUCACCCAAAGCCUCUCAAGCAGACUCUCUCUGAAGAUCCGAAGCAAUCAGCAGGCGAGCCGGAUGAGGUUGAAUUUCCCCAGAAAACACCCACUCCACG
rnacentral:sRNA from 1 species